rnacentral:rRNA from 1 species
UACGGAGGGUGCGAGCGUUAAUCGGAAUUACUGGGCGUAAAGCGUGCGCAGGCGGUUUGUUAAGCCAGAUGUGAAAGCCCCGGGCUCAACCUGGGAACCGCAUUUCGAACUGGCUAACUAGAGUCUUGUAGAGGGGGGUAGAAUUCCAGGUGUAGCGGUGAAAUGCGUAGAGAUCUGGAGGAAUACCGGUGGCGAAGGCGGCCCCCUGGACAAAUACUGACGCUCAGGCACGAAAGCGUGGGGAGCAAACAGG